UGCAGUCGAGCGGCAGCACGAGAGAUCUUGCUCCUUGGCGGCGAGUGGCGAACGGGUGAUGACUAUAUCUCAGCAUGCCCAGUAGCGGGGGAUAACUACUCGAAAGAGUGGCUAAUACCGCAUACGUCCUACAGGAGAAAGCAGGGGACCUUCGGGCCUUGCACUAUUGGAGUGGCCGAUAUCGGAUUAGCUGGUGGUGGGGUAAAGGCCUACCAAGGCGACGAUCCGUGGCUGGUUUGAGAGGACGACCACCCUCACUGGGACUGACACACGGCCCUCACUCCUACGGGAGGCAGCAGUGGGGAAUUUUGGACAAUGGGGGAAACCCUGAUCCAUCCAUCCCGCGUGUGCAAUGAAUGCCUUCUGGUUGUAAAUCUCUUUUGUCAGGAAAGAAAUCGCCCGGGAUAAUACCUCGGGUGGAUGACGGUACCUGAAAAAUAACCACCGGCUACCUACGUGCCACCACCCGCGUUAAUACGUAGGGUGCAAUCGUUAAUCUUAAUUACUGGGCGUAAAGCGUGCGCGGGCGGUUCGGAAAGAUGUAUGUGAAAUCCCAGGGCUUAACCUUGUAACUGCAUUUUUAACUACCGGGCUAGAGUGUGUCAGAGGGGGGUGGAAUUCCGCGUGUAGCAGUGACAUGCGUAUAUAUGCGGAACGAACACCGAUGGCGAAGAGCAGCCCGCCUCUGAUACUGACUGACGACUGCAUGCAACGAAAUGCGUGAGCGAGCAAAGCAUGUGAUAUACCUCAUCGCCUGGUCACGAUCGCACGUCCCAUCAGAUCGUAUGAUCUACCUCGCUG
rnacentral:rRNA from 1 species